UACGUAGGGUGCAAGCGUUGUCCGGAAUUAUUGGGCGUAAAGAGCUUGUAGGCGGUUUGUCGCGUCUGCUGUGAAAUUUCGGGGCUCAACCCCGAACUUGCAGUGGGUACGGGCAGACUAGAGUGUGGUAGGGGAGACUGGAAUUCCCGGUGUAGCAGUGAAAUUCGUAGAUAUCGGGAGGAACACCAGUGGCGAAGGGCGGCUCUCUGGACCGAGUACUGACGCUGAGGCGCGAAAGCGUGGGGAGCAAACAGGG
rnacentral:rRNA from 1 species